rnacentral:rRNA from 1 species
UGGAUGAUGUGGAUUAAUUCGAUGCAACGCGAAAAACCUUACCUACCCUUGACAUGUCCGGAAUCCUGCAGAGAUGCGGGAGUGCCCGAAAGGGAAUCGGAACACAGGUGCUGCAUGGCUGUCGUCAGCUCGUGUCGUGAGAUGUUGGGUUAAGUCCCGCAACGAGCGCAACCCUUAUCAUUAGUUGCUACGCAAGGGCACUCUAAUGAGACUGCCGGUGACAAACCGGAGGAAGUGGGGAUGACGUCAAGUCCUCAUGGCCCUUAUGGGUAGGGCUUCACACGUCAUACAAUGGUCGGUACAGAGGGUUGCCAAGCCGCGAGGUGGAGCCAAUCCCAGAAAGCCGAUCGUAGUCCGGAUUGUUCUCUGCAACUCGAGAGCAUGAAGUCGGAAUCGCUAGUAAUCGCGGAUCAGCAUGUCGCGGUGAAUACGUUCCCGGGUCUU